rnacentral:rRNA from 1 species
GUCGUCAGCUCGUGUCGUGAGAUGUUGGGUUAAGUCCCGCAACGAGCGCAACCCUCGACCUUAGUUGCCAGCAUUCAGUUGGGCACUCUAAGGUGACUGCCGGCUAAAAGUCGGAGGAAGGUGGGGAUGACGUCAAAUCAUCAUGCCCCUUAUGACCUGGGCUACACACGUGCUACAAUGGGCGGUACAAAGGGUCGCGAACCCGCGAGGGGGAGCCAAUCCCAAAAAGCCGCUCUCAGUUCGGAUUGCAGGCUGCAACUCGCCUGCAUGAAGCCGGAAUCGCUAGUAAUCGCGGAUCAGCAUGCCGCGGUGAAUACGUUCCCGGGCCUU